CAGCCGCCGCGGGAAUACGUAGGGUGCAAGCGUUGUCCGGAAUUAUUGGGCGUAAAGAGCUCGUAGGCGGUUUGUCGCGUCUGCUGUGAAAUCCCGAGGCUCAACCUCGGGCUUGCAGUGGGUACGGGCAGACUAGAGUGCGGUAGGGGAGAUUGGAAUUCCUGGUGUAGCGGUGGAAUGCGCAGAUAUCAGGAGGAACACCGAUGGCGAAGGCAGAUCUCUGGGCCGUAACUGACGCUGAGGAGCGAAAGCGUGGGGAGCGAACAGGAUUAGAUACCCGCGUAGUCCCUGUCUCUUAUAC
rnacentral:rRNA from 1 species